GACAGGUGCUGCAUGGCUGUCGUCAGCUCGUGUUGUGAAAUGUUGGGUUAAGUCCCGCAACGAGCGCAACCCUUAUCCUUUGUUGCCAGCGAUUCGGUCGGGAACUCAAAGGAGACUGCCGGUGAUAAACCGGAGGAAGGUGGGGAUGACGUCAAGUCAUCAUGGCCCUUACGAGUAGGGCUACACACGUGCUACAAUGGCGCAUACAAAGAGAAGCGACCUCGCGAGAGCAAGCGGACCUCACAAAGUGCGUCGUAGUCCGGAUCGGAGUCUGCAACUCGACUCCGUGAAGUCGGAAUCGCUAGUAAUCGUGGAUCAGAAUGCCACGGUGAAUACGUUCC
rnacentral:rRNA from 1 species